AUGAACCAAAAAAACCAUAAUGUGGAGCCUAAUGGUUAAUCUCAAUGACUACAAGAUGCCUGCAGUCAUAGGUUAUUUCAAAGAAGAUAAUACUGCAAAGCGCUUGGAAUAUGCAUAUGUUUACAUGCUUCAAAUGAUGCGGAAUCAGAAAGCAGCGAUUGAAACUUACUAACCCGACCUGCUAGUCUUUGAACUGAAGCUCUUUGCUGCCCUCUGUAGAUACCUAGAGAUGAAAACGGCAAAGUCAACAUUCACUUUCUCAGUUAUGGUAAUUUUGUUCUGUAAUCUUAAUAGAAAAAUAGACUAAACAGAAGGUGUUUCAAUUAAAGGGAAAUUAAGGAUCGUUUUUUCCUAUAAUUUCUUUUGUACUAUAUCGUUGAAUUUCUGUAUUUGCCUUUAAAAAAAUCACUAUUUAAAAUUAAAACUUCGUGUUUAAAAACACUAUGGUAAGACAAAGUGAAAAUACACACAUGAAUGCAUGAAAAAAGAAUUAGUAAUUUUUCAACUUUCUUUUGACUUUUUUAUCAUUUUAUGUAUAUUAUCCACAUUUUAAAAGUCAUAUGAAUUAUGGUAGAUAAUGUCCUCUAAACAUAAGCUACAAGUUCUAUUUUCACAUGAUAGUUUUCCUUGCCUUUGGCAUGAUAAUUAUUGUUGUUUCUAGUUUCUUGGGAGGGGCUAUUCUUUUGCAAGAAAAUAAUCACUAUUUCAAUUGUUGCAAUUCAACUUAAAAUUAUUUUGCUGAGCAUUUUCUAUGCACUCAGCAAAAGUCUACAUGCUGUGUAGGGGAUAUCAAAAUGAUGAUAAUAAUAGCAGCAAACUGCUAAGUGCUUAACCUUGGAAAGAUAUUGUAGCACAUUACUUUACAUAUGCUAACCAUUUAGUCUUCCCAAAUAUUAUAAGGUGUCUGAUUUUGUAGAGCCUACAAUU
rnacentral:lncRNA from 1 species